GAUCCCACUGUCUCCCCCCUCCAAUCAGUGAAACUGAUCUCUCCGUGAAGAAGCGGGGAUAUUUACAUAAGACGAGAAGACCCCAUGGAGCUUUAAACCCGAUGUCACCCAUUUUCCUCUACACCCUAAUAUUCAAUUUGGCCCUGCCCUGUCGGUUUUAGGUUGGGGUGACCACGGAGUAUAAUAUACCCUCCAUGAAAAAGGGAGUAAUAAUCCUUAUUAGAGAACAACACUUCUAAAAAUUAAAACAUUAAUUUAUAAUGAUCCGAUAUUCGAUCAACGAACCAAGUUACCCUGGGGAUAACAGCGCA
rnacentral:rRNA from 1 species